rnacentral:rRNA from 1 species
CCUACGGGUGGCAGCAGUGGGGAAUAUUGCACAAUGGGGGAAACCCUGAUGCAGCGACGCCGCGUGAGUGAAGAAGUAUCUCGGUACGUAAAGCUCUAUCAGCAGGGAAGAAAAUGACGGUACGUGACUAAGAAGCCACGGCUAACUACGUGCCAGCAGCCGCGGUUAUACGUAGGGGGCAAGCGUUAUCCGGAUUUAUUGGGUGUAAAGGGAGCGUAGACGGGAGAGCAAGUGUGGAGUUAAAUUCCGGGGCUUAACCCGAGAACUGCAUUGGAAACUGUGAGGCUGGAGUGUAGGUGAGGUAGGCGGAAUUCGUGGUGUAGCGGUGAAAUGCGUAGAUAUUAGGAGGAACACCGGUGGCGAAGGCGGCUUACUGGACUGUCACUGACGUUGAGGCUCGAAAGCGUGGGGAGCAAACAGGAUUAGAUACCCGAGUAGUC